rnacentral:rRNA from 1 species
GACGAACGCUGGCGGCGUGCUUAACACAUGCAAGUCGAACGAAGAGCGAUGGAAGCUUGCUUCUAUCAAUCUUAGUGGCGAACGGGUGAGUAACGCGUAAUCAACCUGCCCUUCAGAGGGGGACAACAGUUGGAAACGACUGCUAAUACCGCAUACGAUCUAAUCUCGGCAUCGAGGAUAGAUGAAAGGUGGCCUCUACAUGUAAGCUAUCACUGAAGGAGGGGAUUGCGUCUGAUUAGCUAGUUGGAGGGGUAACGGCCCACCAAGGCGAUGAUCAGUAGCCGGUCUGAGAGGAUGAACGGCCACAUUGGGACUGAGACACGGCCCAGACUCCUACGGGAGGCAGCAGUGGGGAAUCUUCCGCAAUGGACGAAAGUCUGACGGAGCAACGCCGCGUGAGUGAUGACGGCCUUCGGGUUGUAAAGCUCUGUUAAUCGGGACGAAAGGCCUUCUUGCGAAUAGUUAGAAGGAUUGACGGACCGAAUAGAAGCCACGCAUU